rnacentral:rRNA from 1 species
UUUAUGGAGAGUUUGAUCCUGGCUCAGGAUGAACGCUGGCGGCGUGCCUAAUACAUGCAAGUCGAGCGAACGGACGAGAAGCUUGCUUCUCUGAUGUUAGCGGCGGACGGGUGAGUAACACGUGGAUAACCUACCUAUAAGACUGGGAUAACUUCGGGAAACCGGAGCUAAUACCGGAUAAUAUUUUGAACCGCAUGGUUCAAAAGUGAAAGACGGUCUUGCUGUCACUUAUAGAUGGAUCCGCGCUGCAUUAGCUAGUUGGUAAGGUAACGGCUUACCAAGGCAACGAUGCAUAGCCGACCUGAGAGGGUGAUCGGCCACACUGGAACUGAGACACGGUCCAGACUCCUACGGGAGGCAGCAGUAGGGAAUCUUCCGCAAUGGGCGAAAGCCUGACGGAG